rnacentral:rRNA from 1 species
CCUACGGGUGGCAGCAGUGGGGAAUAUUGGACAAUGGGCGAAAGCCUGAUCCAGCCAUGCCGCGUGUGUGAAGAAGGCCUUCGGGUUGUAAAGCACUUUCAGUGGGGAAGAAAGCCUUGGGGCUAAUACCCUCGAGGAAAGACAUCACCCACAGAAGAAGCACCGGCUAACUCCGUGCCAGCAGCCGCGGUAAUACGGAGGGUGCGAGCGUUAAUCGGAAUUACUGGGCGUAAAGCGCGCGUAGGCGGUCUGAUAAGCCGGUUGUGAAAGCCCCGGGCUCAACCUGGGAACGGCAUCCGGAACUGUCAGGCUAGAGUGCAGGAGAGGAAGGUAGAAUUCCCGGUGUAGCGGUGAAAUGCGUAGAGAUCGGGAGGAAUACCAGUGGCGAAGGCGGCCUUCUGGACUGACACUGACGCUGAGGUGCGAAAGCGUGGGUAGCAAACAGGAUUAGAUACCCCAGUAGUC